rnacentral:tRNA from 1 species
UCCUUGAUAGCUCAGCGGUAGAGCAUUCGGCUGUUAACCGAACGGUCACUGGUUCGAAUCCAGUUCAAGGAG